UUCCGGUUGAUCCUGCCGGACCCCACUGCUAUUGGGAUGGGACUAAGACAUGUUAGUUGAGCGUCUCUAAGCUAUGAUGGAGACGCGGCGCACAGCUCAGUAACACGUGGCUAACCUGCCCUUGGGACAGGGAUAACCCCGGGAAACUGGGGCUAAUACUUGAUAGGUGAGAACUCCUGGAAUGGAUUCUCGCUGAAAGGGCGUCUAGAUCAUGCUUUUAGGCGUCGCCCAAGGAGGGGGCCGCGGCCGAUCAGGUUGUUGGUGAGGUAACGGCUCACCAAGCCUUUAACCGGUACGGGCCGUGAGAGCGGUAGCCCGGAGAUGGGUACUGAGACAAGGGCCCAGGCCCUACGGGGCGCAGCAGUCGCGAAAACUCACCAAUUCACGAAAGUGUGAGUGGGCCAUCCCGAGUGCCGUCCGCUGAGGAUGGCUUUUCCUUAGUGUACAAAGCUGGGGGAAUAAGGAGAGGGCAAGUCUGGUGUCAGCCGCCGCGGUAAUACCAGCUCUCCGAGUGGUGGGGAUGUUUAUUGGGCCUAAAGCAUUCGUAGCCUGCUGGACAAGUCCUCCGUUAAAUCCAACGAUUCAAUCGUUGGGCCGCGGGGGAUACUGUUCGGCUGGGGGGCGGAAGAGGUCGACGGUAUUCUCGGGGUAGGGGUGAAAUCCUAUAAUCCCGGGAGGACCACCAGUGGCGAAGGCUGUCGGCUAGAACGCGCCCGACGGUGAGGGAUGAAAGCUGGGGGAGCGAACCGGAUUAGAUACCCGGGUAGUCCCAGCCGUAAACGAUGCAGGCUAGGUGUUGGCGCGGCUACGUGCCGCUCCAGUGCCGCAGGGAAGCCGUUAAGCCUGCCGCCUGGGAAGUACGGCCGCAAGGCUGAAACUUAAAGGAAUUGGCGGGGGAGCACCACAAGGGGUGAAGCUUGCGGUUUAAUUGGAUUCAACGCCGGG
rnacentral:rRNA from 1 species